UCCAGCCAGAUAAACUGGCAAGAAUGUAUAUAGAUUAGUAUUAUGGAGAGUUGUUUUUCGAAAAUUUGACGAAUUUAAAUUCACUUAUGGACAAAAUUUUUAAUGCCAUCGGAUAGGAUACCAAGCAUAUGAGUAAAGAGUUUCCUAUUAGAAUGGUCAACGGAUUUGAUAGAAGCGAUAAAAGACCUACUGUGCGUAAAGAACGUUCUUCAGAUGAAGACGUUAUUAGUAUAAAAUUUGGACUAAACUAAUUUAUAUUUGAUUCUUGAAUCGGGGCUUUUUAUUUGCAAUGUAGCUUGUCUGCAUAAUUGUAAUUGAAAGUUUUAUUUGUAAUUGUAUAUUGAGUUCCUGUGGCUAUCAUGUCUGUCAAAUUUGUAUUAACUUACAAAUAAAGAUGUUUUUUGUUGUCUUAUUUUUAAUAAACAA